GGGCCCGCACAAGCGGUGGAGUAUGUGGUUUAAUUCGAUGCAACGCGAAGAACCUUACCAGGGUUUGACAUCCUGCGAAUCUCUUGGAAACAGGAGAGUGCCUUCGGGAACGCAGUGACAGGUGGUGCAUGGCUGUCGUCAGCUCGUGUCGUGAGAUGUUCCGUUAAGUCGGAUAACGAGCGCAACCCUUACCCUUAUUUGCCAGCAUUUAGUUGGGCACUCUAGAGAGACUGCCGGUGAUAAACCGGAGGAAGGUGUGGAUGACGUCAAGUCAUCAUGCCCCUUACAUCCUGGGCUACACACGUACUACAAUGCUACGGACAAAGGGCUGCAAGUUCGCGAGGACAAGCAAAUCCCAUAAACCGUGGCUCAGUUCAGAUCGUAGGCUGCAACUCGCCUACGUGAAGGCGGAAUCGCUAGUAAUCGCAGGU
rnacentral:rRNA from 1 species